AACGCUAAAACCUGCCAAAGACCCUGUUUCUCUGUCUCCCCUUCCAUCCUGGGGUCUCACCUGAUUUGAUUUAUUUCUCUCCAUCUUUACUGUUACUAUCUUAGAUGCAAGUGUGUCCGGAAUUGGUGGGUUCUUGGUCUGACUUCAAGAAUGAAGCCGCGGACCCUCGCGGUGAGUAUUACAGUUCUUGAAGACUGCGUGUCCGGAGUUUGUUCCUUCUGAUGUUCAGAUGUGUUUGGAGUUUCUUCCUUCUGGUGGGUUCGUGGUCUCGCUAGCUCGGGAGUGAAGCUGCAGACCUUCGCG
rnacentral:lncRNA from 1 species